UGUGUGUGAACUCCAUAUUAUUUAAAAUAUUAUUUUAGAAUUUUUCACCUUCAAAAUUGUGAAUUCAAUACAUUCGAUUUGAAUCUAUUGGAGUAACAGAAUAUGAAGCCAUGCAACACAGUUUCAAGUGUGAAGAUGAGCACUCAUGCCACGUGUCAUUUCAUCUUAGUAGUUAGUUAUGUAGCUUAGCAGUUAAGUGAAAUUAGUUGUACUAAUCUUCUCUCAUAACUACUGUAUUACAGCUGUAUAAAUAGUCUUGCUCUUCACACUUUGUAACCGUUUUUCAUCAUGAAAUGAAAUCCCAUUUUACCUCUCUAUUAUGCCUAGCUUAUCUUCAAUAUGGUAUCUAGAGCAUUUUAUUCGAGAAAUCUGAUCGGCUGCAGCAAAUUGGAGAUGUGAUUUGUUGCUAUUGCAUUUUUUUGUCUGCUGAUUUUUUAUUUCUCCACGGUUUUUCUCGAUCCAAAAUCUCUCAUGGCCAUGGCCACACAUUUACCUCAAGCUUCCACUUCUUCAUCACCACUACCAAAUUUACAUCCCCUGGUUCUUCGACUUGACAAAAGCAAUUAUGCAUUCUGGAGAAUUCAAGUCUUAAGCAGUAUUAAUUCGUGCUCAUGGAUUAGAAGAUAUAAUCUCACCGAUUGCCGCUCCACCACUGCAGUUACUUCCUACCGCUCAAAUCAAUCCGCGCACGCCUCUACGAACAAAUCCAUAAUACAUGAUUUGGAUAUGAAAGGAUCAGUUCUUAAUGAGUUGGAUGUUAUCAUCCAUAGGUGAAACAAUGUUGGAGCAUGUUGUCUGGUGUUCCUCUGCAUCUGCAAUUUGGCAAACUCUGGAACAAUUGUUUCAUUCACAGUCAUGAGCUCGAGUGCUUCAGCUGAAAAAGAUGUUGCACUCACAGAAAAAAGGAUCUCUUAGCAUAUAUGAUUUCUUUCUUCGCAUGCAUAGUUAUGCUGAUCAGUUGAGUGCUGCAGGACAUCAAAUACAGGAUGAUGAGUUAGGCGAUUACAUUCUCAAUGACUGUGGACCAGAAUUCGAAGCAGUUGUCAUCAACCUCAUGCAUCGAGCAAAUCCACCAUCACUUCAGGAAAUGCAGUAUGCCUUGCAAUCACAUGAGAUCCGGCUUUAACAGUCAGCAUACAUUCUAGAUCCUAUGGCUAACUAUGUGCAAAGAGGUCGUGGCACAAAAGGUCGAGGCAUGAUUGGAAGGAGUGUCAAACACACUGGAAAAACUUCAAUUGUUUGCCAACUCUGUGGAAAAAUAGGUCAUGUUGCUUUAAAAUAUUUUAAGAGAUUUGAUUUCUCUUUUAUUGGUGCAGAUCCAACAAAUUCUCCACCACUAGCUUAUAUCAAUGUCUUCAUCAACUUCCAGAGUAUGAAUUAGAUGAGGAAUAAGGUCUUUGGUAUGUGGAUAGUGGAGCCAUAAAUCAUAUCACACAUGACUUGAGUAAUCUGCAGCUUCAAACUCCAUACAUUGGGACAGAAUCUCUAACAGUUGGAAAUGCUGCCUUGUGAAGAACAAAAGAAGUCUUCAAAUUCUGUUGAAGGGAACACUACAUAAAGGCCUUUAUCAACUUGAUUUGUCUGAGUUUCAUGCUAGGUCAACCCUUACUACUUCUGCUUCACAACAUAUUUCCUCUACCAGUGUACCAUCUGCUUUAGUUUCUACUUGUAAUAGUAAAAAAACAUGUAAUCCAUCUGAAUAAAAUGGAUCUUUGGCACAAAAGAUUGGGUUAUCCUAGCCUUCCUAUUUUAAUUUCUGUACUUAAUAGUCUAAAUGUAUCAGUUAAAACUUCUGCCA